rnacentral:rRNA from 1 species
AUCUACAGCCAUACCACCCUGAACGCAACCGAUCUUGUCUGAUCGCAAAAGCUAAAAGCAGGGUCGGGCCUGGUUAGUACUUGGAUGGGAGAACCACUGUAAACAGGGAAGGGAAAGUG